rnacentral:lncRNA from 1 species
GGCGAUUGUAAGGCACUUUAUUCGCUCAGAUCUUGGGCGUCCUGCAGACUUGGGCGAUGAUGUUACUAUGUUCACGGGCUUCCACCGCAUUUAUUAAUAACCCUAUCUGGGCCUUUAUCCUGAAUUGUCUAGUUGAGCUUCAUUUUUUGAGUUAUUCGAUUUGGAUUGCACUUUUAGUGUGUCAACAGAUUUAAAAAAAAAAUUAUACUGAGAAAUCAAGUUUUUUAGAUUUUUU